ensembl:snRNA U6 U6 spliceosomal RNA
GUGCUCACUUCAGCAGCACAUAUACUACAAGUGGAACGAUACGGAGAUCAGCAUGGCCCCUGUGCAAAGAUGACAUGCAAAUUCCUGAAGCGUUCCAUAUUUUU